GAUCCUGUAGAAUGACGAUGACUGGUUUUCCAGUGAUCUGAUUGGUCAGUAGUUGUUAAGGUGAUUGGCUCUGAUCUCUUAUGUCGAACUUGCACCGGAGCAGCUCAGAUCCUGCUCCGUAGUAGACGCCUCUGACCAUGGAAGAUUAUCAGACGGACGAGGAUACUGGGUUCGUCGUCGAAGAAGUGAGCAAAAUAAUCAAAGAGUCAGUAGAAGCGACCAUAGGAGCAAAUGCCUACCAGCACAGCAGAGUCAACCAGUGGUCCACCAGUAUAGUGGAGCAGUGCCUCAGUCAACUAAGCAAGCUGGGGAAACCAUUCAAGUACAUCUUGACAUGUAUCAUCAUGCAGAAAAAUGGAGCCGGUCUGCAGACGACCAGCGCCUGCUUCUGGGACAACUCGACUGAUGGAAGCUGUGCACUGAGAUGGGAGAACAAGUACAUGUACUGCAUCGUCAGUGUUUUUGGGUUGGCCAUCUGAACCUACCACGGUGUCUCUGGAGUAUUUUAAGGUGUGUAGGAUGUUAUGUCGCUGAUAUCUGAAUAAGAUAUGUAUUUCUACUAAAUGUAAUCGAUUAUAAAGAUACUAUUUUGUAUAUACUUGCUUUAUUUACAUGUGACAUGACAGAGUGCUACAUGUACAACUUUUGCCUCAUGAAGCAACAACAAACGCAAGAACUUGCGCGAUAUCAGGACUCUCAACCUCAUUUAACUACCUCGAACCAACAUUUACUACAUUCAUACUGAAAAGAAUCAAACAUGUACAUUUUAUCUAAGAAAGCAUUUGAAACUUUAAGCCGGCAGCCCGUUUAUGAGAAAAAUGUGAUGUGUAGACAAGGCACCAUCUUGAUAAGAAUCCAUGUUUAAGAUAUUAUUUGCAAAGAACAGACACACUUGUUUUGGCUGUUUUUCCAUAAGCUCCAGUUUGAUAAAACAAAGGAAAGGGCUGCGAUUCACACAUUGGCGGUAAUAGAAAAGAAAGUUACAGACCAAAAAUAUAUAGUUUACUUUAAAUCGUAUGUUCUACAUAAGGCAAAAAUAUAUUUGGCCAAAGGUUUAACUACUAUAUGUAAUGGGAUAUGAAAUGUUUAACAUAAUAAAUCAGUAGUCCCUUAACAAAUCAUCAAUUAAAAUCCAGGCUAUUCAUCAAAAUCCAUCCAUCCAAGUCAUGAGCCAUACAGUAUCCCGUCAUUACUUUUCAGAGAAAAUAAAUAAAGUAAUUAAGAAGUGCAAUUACAAAGCUGCUUUCUGAGAAAAGAGAGCAGUGUGGGAGAUCAGUAGUAACCUUCCUCCAGUUAAAGUUCUCUCUGCGUUUAAAAUAAAACACAUCUGAGGACAAGGAGAAGUUGUCUACAGCCAACACUGCUAUUAUUCUCAGACAGUCGGAGAGCAGAAAGGAAUGGCAAAGACAACACAGUAGAAGUAUAGAAAGACAACAGUGGUCCAACACAACGCAAGAAAAAUAACAUUGAUUUCAUCAACCAGAAUAAUUAAUAAUAAUAAUAUUAGCACUUUUCCCGAUCAUUAUUAACUAAGGUUGUGAAAAAUAGUUUUCAAGUUAAUAAGAAAUUGUUUUGUUGUACAUUUGACUGAAAGCAUAAACAAUGGAGAAAAAAAAAACAGCAGCUACAUGCGUCAACUUUCAGUGAAAUUACAGUACAUUCAGUAGACAUGGAGCAUAUCUUUUUAAAAAUAGAUUUAUGUACACUUACAAUAUAUCAUUCCAAUACUCUGUAUGUACAACACAGACAUGAUUGUUGUUUUAAUGUCUUCUCAUAGUUUCCAACGGGGACACGGGGGUGAGGAGCGGUCAGAGAUUCAGUCACUGUCAGUCUCAUCCUGGUACUUGGUGGUUGCUUUGAUAGCGCGUCCGUUUUGCAAAGGCAUGUCUUCGUAAUCACUCCUUCACAAAAACAAAGAAACAUCGUUUGAUUCAGGCUAGUUGCGGCCCAGCGAGGUCAGACUUACGUUUGCCAAAUGCCCAGCGUAACCGCCGAGAGCCACAGAAGACCGACAAUGAUCAACUUGGGCAGUGAAGAAGACCUGAAGUAUCCAGUGCCAGUACUCUUACCGUCACCAUGAAGGUCAACACCACGAAGACAAACCGGAACCAGAUUUCCACUUGCGAGAAGGCCCUUGAAGCUGACCACAACUUGAUACUGGGUGUAGUUCAGGAAGCCCAGAUGGAGCACAAUUAUCUCAUCACAUUUCUGUAAGGAGGCAAAAAAAAGGAUGCUUCGCUGUCAGGUCAGUCAACGAAUCUGACUUAUCUGCGCAUUUAAUGCGAUGAAUAAAAUUCAAUCCUGCACUCA